GUCCGCGGCCACGCCACCCUGAACGUGCCCCAUCCCGUCUGACCUCGGAAGCUAAGCAGGGUCGGGCCUGGUGAGUGCUUGGAUGGGAGACCACCUAGGAAGACCAGGUGCUGUAGGCG
rnacentral:rRNA from 1 species